AGCUCUGUGGGGUCUGGAGUCGGGCUGGUGGGGGCCGUGGGGCAGGAGAGAUGGGCACAGGCAGAGCUGGAGGGGAUCAUAACACACAGUGCUGCUCUCUCUGCUGCCUUCUCUCCAGACACCGAGAUGUGCGUGUGAUAAAAGAGAUUAUUUACAAUAAAGGGAAGAAACAAGGCUACCGGUGGAGAGGUCUCAUGUGGCAGGCAGUAUCCACGCGCAUCAUUCAGAGGCACCAAUCCCAUCUCUUGACAGCCCCUAUGCACUGGGGAGCACUUCUCAAGGUCUGGUGUGUGAAACCUCCUGUAGCAGGACUGUGAGUCCAAAGACACAGUACCAGGACUCGCUGACUCCCACGGUUCCUUCAGCUGUGCUAGGCAAUCCCUAUCUGAUGGUGAGGCAGAAACAAGGAUCACCAGAUGAUUGAGCAUAGCUACGUGCAGGACCGCACUGCAUCCACUCCGUGGGCACCACCACCAGCCCAGCACUGGCAGCCACAGCACCCUCCUGACUCAGCAGCACCAAGGAGAAGGUUCUCUCAUGAACUCCCCAAGCUGGCACCUCCAGCAGAAGUGAUUGCAAAUUCCAGAGCAAACUGAGAAAUCCUCCAAAAGGAUUUAGAGAGAUUAGAAAUGAGCAGGAAACAAAAUGAGAUUUAACUUGGGAAAAGAUAAGCUAAUGUAUCUGGGGCAAAGCUGCUUUGCAGUGGGAGGGGACACCCUGGAAAGCAGAACUGCCAGAAGAGGUUGAGAAAGGGCAGCCAUGGAGAGAAGCAUCUAGAGAGAGACAUAAGGGAAUAUGUUCAGAGCCAGCUGCCUCUUCUAUAUUUUUUGAGUGAUUCACCUUUGAGUAUGUUCAGCAGUAGACAACUUUUUAGGGGAAAGGAGUGUUAUAUUUAUAUAUGAAAGGUGUUGGGAUAUUAGAAAGAGAAAUGAUAAAGGACAGAGCUUGAUAAACUGACACUGUGGGAUUUGAAGAUACAUUUUAUGUCACUGGCCAAGAAAUUACUCCAGAGGAGACAUAAUCAGACUCCACAAGUAUAUGAGGGUCUACAUCAGAGAGAAAGGGAACACACCCACUGACACACUUGCAAAUUUAAGGGUGAGAUUAAGUUAGAGAAAAGAGAAGGUAAAGAUAAGGACAGAGUCCAGGCAGUGCAACAGGUUAGGCUGUUCAGGACAGCAGCACAUGGUUCACAAGACCAAAAUUUAACCCCACAAAUUGUUCCCCUGGGAUGUCUUUGAGUCCGUGACUGGUCCCAACAAUUCAGCGAGGGUGUGGAUCACACUCAGUCCCACAAAGUGACUCACAAAAGUCACAGCCACUUGCACUGCAUAUCCAGCCACCCCAGAGGGGUACUGGUGCAGAGGGCAGUGCCACUCCCUGACUCAUCAGCACCUCCUCCGGCAGCUCAGCCAGUUCUCCCAGGUGCUGUGUAUCAACUAGGUCUACACUGCACAUCCACAACACAGAGCGCUGGGAAGCCAAUACUGCAACAAAAAAUUGGCCCUCGGCCUCAAGACCAGCGUCAGAUUAGUCACUGAAUAACUCAGGAUGAUCCAAUGACUCAUCAUUUAUUAUGCCUAUGAGGACUGGAAACAAUCAUAUCCUGUGCCGUUGACCCCCAUUCACCACACUACCCGUAGUGAGAUAAAUCAAAGUAAGUAGGAGUUAGUUUCUUAUCCCCAGGAGCAACAACACCUUGGAACAAACAUAACUUGCUCAGGAGUCUUCAGGCUGCUUCUCCCAGAUGUGAGGUCCUUGCAGUGCAAAAAAAAGAAGACUCGAACCUUCCAGCAGGCUGCCCAACAUAAGGAAGGGGACUUGGAGGGAGAAUGGGCAAAUUGAAACAGUGAAGAAAAAAGUAGAGAUGAUCGACAGGAAGUUGCAUUUCCAGAAGUUAGUGUCUGCACAGGCAUCUGAGCAACCAGGUGAGGGGUUUCUUUGAAAGGAAUGAGUCCAUCAUAAAUCUCUCUUGGGGCUUUUGCUUCUGCAUUAAUAAUUUCAGAACUGAGAACAGAAGGAAGGGCAGGAAGAGAUGCUGGUGGGAGUCUUGCUUCUGGAGAAGAGGCUGAUGACACAAGCAUAUACUCCCUGGUAUCCAUAUGUUUGCGGCACAGGAUGGAUCCAGUAUCAGCAGGUUCUCUGUAGGUGAGAAGGACAGGAAGGCCAGGCAGUGAGAUGGCAGCCUGGACACCUUUCCAAAGUGUACACCAUGGCUCAGGAAGGAGUUAUGGGCAAACAAAGGUGAAGGACUCAGCCCUUAAAAUGUCUGAAGAGGUGAUGGAUCUGAAUUACUUGCAUAAGCUGAUCAUUUUGCUCAUCUUGUGCUGCCUCUCCCCCUUUUUUCUCCCCUUAGAUAAUGUUCCCACUGAAAAGGGUUGCAGGGGCUCAAAAGCUUGCAUCAAUCAUACUCUUCCUUCACCACAGCCCAUUUGAUCAAGAUUCAGAGAUAAUGCGAUCUAGGGUCAAAGCUUUUCACCUCAAAGCUACCACACAGGUUGGAGCAAGGCAUCUUGACCUGCAUCCUAGAUUGCUUUGGGAUUACGUGAGCCUCCCUGGGGAAUGUUCAGCAGGAAUUGACACUCAUCACCAGUCCUGGCAGGGGGCUGAGCAGAGCCAGACACCUUCCCUAGCCUGGGUCCCACCACGCAACACUCUCCAAGCAUGGAGCACACCAACAACUCUCAGAAUAGCUGACAAAGGAGGUGUCAAAGUAAGCCCCAAAGUAAAGCCCCCCUGUGCUGGCAUCAAGCUUGCAGGAUGCCUUCCCCCUGCUGCAUGCACCAGGCUUGGCCAGGAGAUGGGCAAUGUGGUGGGCUGGGCAGAAGAGGCACGUGGGUGCUAAACACGCAGAACCCUACGGCAGCUGGCUGCAGUGGGCAGCCCUGAUGCCUAAAGAGAUGCUUGAGUACCCACAGGCUAGGGAGAGAUGGAGCUUUUUUUUUCAUUGCCACAGAAGUGUUUGGGGCAUCUGAAAAAGCGAGGUAAAAAUAUAGAGCAUGAACCAGCAAGAUUAGCCCCAUGUCACAAUGUACAGGUAUAGCCCAGAACUGCAGAUAUUUCCUGACGUCUCUCAGUUGUGCAUAGGCAGCAUUGCUCACCCGGAUAUAUGGAAGCAGCAAGCUUAAAGAAAUCCUUAUGAAAAGGCUUUUUUGGCCUUGGGAAGCCAGCCUUGGGCAGGUAAACAGGUGGCACUUGCCCAACAAGCCCACUUCCCUUUAUAUGUCUGUAAUCACCUCACACAAGACAGCGAGUUGCACCUCUGGAGGUACUAUCCUGAGGUAGGCAGCCAGCAAACCUCUGACAUUUGAAGGGGAACCUGACCCUUCUUCCCUUCAUGAUGCAAAGCCCCUGGGGUCCUUCCACCUCUCCACAGGAAAGGGCAAGCUUUCCCCAAAGCUGUGGUCAGGCACUCUAUGCAUUCCUUUCGCACCCUCCUUCACUGCUGUGCAGGGGAUAUCACCUCCCUGCUCUUAUCCACAACUCACCACCUCUUACGAGAUAUGGGGUACUUGGCUGGAGGUCCAGGCACAAGUGCCUGGUUGCUCUGGGAUGGCCAGCAGUUCAGCCACCCCAUCGUGCAGGGUGUCAGGUACUGUGGGGCACAGCAAGGGCCAGCAGCUGCUUGUGAGGUGGCACAGUGCCACCAGGGCCACACUGGCCUGGCCCCAAAUGGGGAGCUGGGAGCAAGCACGGUGCUUGCCCAGAGCAGGACUGCAGACCUUGUGCUGGAUGAUCUGGAUUAGCCUUGAAUUUCAGCCAUCCCAAGCGCAGAGACUGUCUGCUCACUCACCACAUGGACUACUAUAAAAAUACCCAUCUCUCACUACCAAAGGUCUCACGGGCAGACAGUGGUGGACAUGUCCUGUGAAAUGAAUUUCCUUUGGGCUUCCGAAGUCCUUUGUGGGACUAUGCUGAAGGACAGGAGAUUUAUAGGCAUUUCUAACACAGACACUGUAGGUGGUAGUGGAGCCCAAGCAGAGCCUGGCUGACUUAGAGACUGGAUGAGCAGCGCAAGACAUGAGCAACAAGGGGUUAAACCAGUUAGCAGGUGCCAAAAGGGAGAGACAGACAGGGCUUCCAACCAAAAGCACUCUUUAUUCCAUUGCCAGUGGGAUUUUCUGUUGUGUCUGCCCAGGGCACCCUUUUCUGCCUUUCACGGUGCCUCCGCUCUCUGAAUCACACAGAAUAAAUGCAGCAGGCACGAGGAAAGCAUCAGCUGGCUGCCUGAAGAUAGCAUUUUAAUUAGCCAGCAACCAAAACGUGGACGUGAUCAGAAGCCUUUCAGGGAAAGUUCUCAUGCACACGGUGAAAGGCUGUAUGACGAGAUCAGAGUGCCAGCCUGAAAACCUGGCCUCCCUCCACAUGUCCCUGCCUCACCUCAGGCCCCGGCACAGGCGAGCCAGGUGCAAACUCUGGGUAGGGUGAGGGACAACUGCUCUCCUAUGUCCCAGCCUCUCCAAAGGCAGGGUUCUCAAUCAUGUACAGCCUCUCCAACUACCCUGAGCUCACCUCCAACACCAAACUAUGACCAUGUUCCUCACAAGAGAUGACAGCCCAGUUAUACCCACCCUGGAGAACAAAGAAGAGUUGGACUGCUUCCAGGGCCCCAGGUAACCCUCGUCAGAGCUGGCUUGGGCAGGGUGUUGCUGCAGAUGUUUAAGGCAGCUACCUUGGCUCUUCUGCAUCCACACAAAUUCUAUGAGCCGUCCCAUCUGAAAUAUGCCAUCCAGCCACUGUCUCAUGAAGUAGGUGGCUACCAGGUCACCUUGCUCUGCAGAUAUCCUACUCCUUCUGAGUCCUUAGAGGUAGGAAAAGGGAGGGGCACCAGGAGUAGCCAGCCCAGCUUGCCCUUGGUGGGAUGGAAUUUGAUGUGUUUGGUUUGAUAUGCUGAUGAGGGUUUAAUGUGUUGUGACUGACAGGAACAUGCUGGUUCAUCCAUACAGGAGACUUGGGUCUCUUCAUGCUGAGAUUUUACAUCCAGCUCAGCUCAGGGGAGAAGCACUUACCCGAGGGUUUCAAUUUUUCCAGUUUGAUGACUUGUAAACAUUUCCCAGAUCACAAACAGGUAGAGCAGGUCUCCUGAGGAUAGGCUUGCUGUCUUCAUCACCUUGCACAGCCACGAGCAGAAGAGCCCAUAGAUCCACACAGAACAAAAACCAGUGGUGAAUACACAAGGGAAGCAACUCCUUUGGGUUCCUCAUGCAGAAACAUCCAGACGGCUCACAUUCUCACCUCACUCCUGCAGUCCACAAGACAUUACUGAAUACAGUGAUCCAAAAUGUCCUCAGGUACUCAUCCUCUUUCCUCCACAGGACCCUCUGCUGAGGCAGUGACUGCAGAUCCACCUGUUGAGCUACUUGAGUCCAUCCUAAAUAGAAGCCAGAUUCUUUACCUUCACAAGAGCAGGAAUGAUGCAGCCAUGAACUCGGUGGUCUGUAUUACCCUAAGCAAGCCGCCUCCCAGACAUCCAGGAAACAUCCUGCAUGCUCCUUUCCAGUGUGGACAGAUGACUGACACAUGACACAUUCAUCUCCAUGGAUAAAGAGGAAAUUACACCACAAAGUUUUUCCUCCUAGACCCCAAAGCACAUCACAAAAGAUGCAAUGGUAUCAAGAUCCCUCAUGAAGUGAUGAGCACUGUCAGAGCUAAACAGUUUUUUGUUCAGUCAUCCAGGAUGGCAAGGUCUGGCUGAGCCAUCACUGACGGCGAGUUACAUGCACACAGAUCCAACUGCGAACACCAAGUCCAUUACCAGAAAGGGCACCUCACAGCAUUACUUUCACUUUGAUUGUAAAUUCCACCAGGAUUGCAUCUACUCAUGCCUGCACAGUACCCAGCUCAUGCGACUUGGCUCCUGACAGGAGAGCCAGGGUUGGGACCAUCAUGACACUGCUCGGCAUCAGGCUGGGAAGGAACCCAGGAGUCCUGCCCCCUUGGUCCUGCCCAUCACACCACCCUCUUCUCACCAAGAAGGGAACUCUGGCUGAGCUCCACACAAGAAUUCUGGUGCCUACCUCCCAUUCAUUUAAAUGGGUUUUAGGUACCUAGAUGUUUUUGGAAGCUCUGGGCCCAAAUCCAAGAGUCCAGCUGGUAGGUUGCUGAUUCCCUGUAGCCUCCAGAGGCAAUACUGGAGAAAUUAUUACACAAUGGAAGAAAACCAGAUGCAAGGCAGAAGGAGAAGGCAAAGGAAAUCAAGGUCAGAAUUAAAUUCUUUAAUACAAAAAAAAGUUUGUUUGUCGUCGUCGUCGUUGUUUUAAGAUAUAUCUGUAAUUUCUUUGUUUAAAAAUAAAUAUGUACUAAGGAAUAUCUUGAAAAAAUUCACUAGACACAAUAUGUAGUGUUAAUAUCUUUUUUCCCCGCAAUUAUUACAGAUAAACAGUAGCACCAAUAAAUAAAAUGAUAACAAAUAUUAAAAUUAAAAAGGAGAGAGAUUCAAGAUGUAGAAUUUUCUAUUUUUUCCUGUUUCUUCUUUUUACAUAUAUAAAAAAAUUGUAGUGUCUAUUUAAUCCGAAUCACACAUAUACAUAAACAUAUAUAUAUAUACAAACACAUAGCCAAAUAUAUAUAUAGUAUGUAGAUGUAUAUCUAACCGUUGUCUCAAUAGGAAUGUGUAGGGGUAGGUGUUAGAGAAAUUAAUUAAAUAACUGCCCAUAACAUGCUACUGACUCUGCCAACAAUUGGGGAGAGAUGGGAUGGGACAACAGGAAGGUUAAAUUUAUACACAACCAGUACAAAAAAAAAAAAAAAGAAAAAAAAAGAAAAAAAAAAGGAGGUACGGCUUAUAAAUAGUUGAAAUUAAAUAUUAACAAAGAAUACUGAAAAAUCCCUACUCUUUAAUUAAAUUAUCUGUUUAAUUUCUAAUUUAAAAAGGGAUAUUAAAUAAGUAUAUAAAACACUUUCUCUUCCCUCCCCCGAUCGGAAGCCUCUGUCUUGCACACGAUGCAGCAUGAGUAUUCUACAUUGCAGAUGCAAGCACCCACCCGUGUGUUUUCUCUCCUUCUGAAAGCCAUCAGUCGGAUGGGGAGAUCCUAGUGGUUAGUAGUCGCUUGUUGUGAGUCUGUUUUUAGACUGUCUUGUCUUUUUGGAAGCUUUCCGUGUUGUACAUUAUCAGGCGUUGAAAAUUCAAUUGCAGAUGAUGUUUGGCAGCAUUCUGACACAGACCGAGUACCUUUUUGAUUGUUAUUAUUAUUAAUAAUAAUUUUAAUCACAGAACUAGAUUAUAUAUAUCCACAUAGAUGUACAAACACACUUUCAGGGGUGUGUGUGUGUGCGCGCGUGUGUAAGGUGGGUUUCACGUACACCACAGCCUACACUGCAGAUACACACAUAGCCAAGAACCUCACAACACAGCUAAGGACUCCAGCUGUCUUCACAUUUGAUUCCCCAGCCCAAGACAUGGAAAAGGGGCCUGAUAUUUACAGUACGUCAUUAAAAAAAAAUCUUGACGUUCUUAAGGGUCAUUCACACUGGGCACACAAAAUGAAGGCAGCAAAAGUUGCUUUCUUUUUUCCCCCCUUUCAAUCUU